UGGGGAAUAUUGCACAAUGGGCGCAAGCCUGAUGCAGCCAUGCCGCGUGUGUGAAGAAGGCCUUCGGGUUGUAAAGCACUUUCAGCGGGGAGGAAGGCGUUAAGGUUAAUAACCUUGGCGAUUGACGUUACCCGCAGAAGAAGCACCGGCUAACUCCGUGCCAGCAGCCGCGGUAAUACGGAGGGUGCAAGCGUUAAUCGGAAUUACUGGGCGUAAAGCGCACGCAGGCGGUCUGUCAAGUCGGAUGUGAAAUCCCCGGGCUCAACCUGGGAACUGCAUUCGAAACUGGCAGGCUAGAGUCUUGUAGAGGGGGGUAGAAUUCCAGGUGUAGCGGUGAAAUGCGUAGAGAUCUGGAGGAAUACCGGUGGCGAACGCGGCCCCCUGGACAAAGACUGACGCUCAGGUGCGAAAGCGUGGGGAGCAAACAGG
rnacentral:rRNA from 1 species